rnacentral:rRNA from 1 species
AGCGAACGCUGGCGGCAGGCCUAACACAUGCAAGUCGAACGAACCUUUCGGGGUUAGUGGCGGACGGGUGAGUAACACGUGGGAACGUGCCUUUAGGUGCGGAAUAACUCAGGGAAACUUGUGCUAAUACCGAAUGUGCCCUUCGGGGGAAAGAUUAAUCGCCUUUAGAGCGGCCCGCGUCUGAUUAGCUAGUUGGUUGAGGGAAUGGCUCACCAAGGCGACGAUCAGUAGCUGGUCUGAGAGGAUGAUCAGCCACAUUGGGACUGAGACACGGCCCAAACUCCUACGGGAGGCAGCAGUGGGGAAUCUUGCGCAAUGGGCGAAAGCCUGACGCAGCCAUGCCGCGUGAAUGAUGAAGGUCUUAGGAUUGUAAAAUUCUUUCACCGGGGACGAUAAUGACGGUACCCGGAGAAGAAGCCCCGGCUAACUUCGUG